UUUCUGUUAAAACAGUUUCGGUGGUGUAUUUGGUUCUUCUGUCGCCUGCAUAAACUUUUGUUUCGAAUCAUAAUGUCAGCACCAGACAACCCUCCAUUUUGUGAUACUAAAGGUUCUGAUAGCCGCUGUAGCAACCACUCAAUGUUGUGAAAUCUGCAAGUGCAAUUACUGGAAAAAAGUGAUUUUGAAAAGAAAGACUUGGCAGUGGACAUCAAAGAGCUUCCUCCACACCAACCAUAACCUGCAAAAAUUAAACCAAAUCACAUUGGUCACUAUCAAAACCACACAUCUACAAGAAGUUCACAGUGUUGCAGAAUAAUACAAUCUUUUUGUAAAUAAUACGAAUUUAGAACUAAGCUCUUUUGCUCUCAAGGCUUUCGGUCAUAUUUCAGCUGAGCAUUAUUUGUAACUCUUGUUUUGGAUUGAAACCUGGAAGCAACCCUGGUGCAGUCUUCCUAAGGAGAAACUAGAGAAAAUUGGGAUGAACUGUAAACCCAUCAGUAGAAAUUAUGUAUGGGAAAUUGAUGCAAGCUGUGAUUGAAAGCUGUGAUCAAAACCGAAACCGAAACCGCCUUUGAAUCUUCAAUAUUUUUUU
rnacentral:lncRNA from 1 species